AAGCUAAUGGCUGCAUGAUUAGUUGAAUUCAAUUUCUGUGCCUGAUGCGUGUGUAGGUGUAUUUUGGGAGUUUUUUGUUUUGUUGAUUUCACUCUGUUUGUUACAGAACAGGUUGGUUUGUUGGGUUCAAUUUGUGAAACUUAAUUUUGACAUGCAUUGUGGUCAAAUGUUUAAAAGGAAGAUUAUUUCCUUUUGCUGGAUUUUUUGAAACUCUAAAUAUGUGUAUGGGAGUUUUCUUCUUGUUUUGUAAUGUAGGGGGAAUUAAGGAUUCUAAAUUUCUAUGGUUGUGUAAGCAUUUAAGGAUUAAAAAUUUAUGUGACUGUGUAUGGGAGUUUCUCUAUUAUUUUUCUCUUUGUGUGCUUCAAGCAGUGAAUUCAAUUUCUGUGUCUCGUGUGUGUAGGUAUGUGUUUAGGGAGGUUUUUAUUUUGUUGGUUUCACUCUGUUUGUUACAGGAUAGAGUGGUUUGCUAGGUUUAAUUUCUGCAAUUUAAUUUUGACAUGCAUUAUGGUUGAAUGCUUAAAAGGAAGAGUAUUUCCUUUUGCUGGAUUCUUGGAAACUCUAAAUAUAUGUUGUCAUAGCCUCUCAGUUGGUGUCUUUCUCAUUGAGAUUGUCUCUGGAUUCUUCUAGUGUCAUUUUUAAAUUUUUACAUAAAUUAGGGUUUUGUAACUUUACUUUGGAAAAUCCCUUGGGUUCUUCUUUUAGUGUGGUUGUGAUAUGAUGGUCUGUAUGAAACUUAAUGCGCUGUGUGGUCCAAGAAUGACUUGCAGGGGAAUUAUGAAUUCUAAAUUUAUAUGGCUGUGUGUAGGAUUUAAGGAUUAAAAAUUUGUGUGGCUCUCUGUGUAUGGGAGUUUUCUUGUUUUUCUCUCUGUGGCAUAACAGAUAGGGUUCUUAGGUUUCACUGGCUUGGCUUUUUUAGUUAUUGAUGAUAAACUUUUCAUUGUGGUUGCAUUUAAUUUGAUGAAGUUGUUUGAGAAUGCAUUAGGAGAAUGUUACUGCAAAAGAAAUUCUUGGGUUGUGGUUUCUUCAUUCAUGAGUGUGCCUAGUUGUCAUCUGUUUGUCUCUUGGAAGCUUAAUUGGCUAUGUGCUCCAAGCAUACCUUGCAGGAUAGAAGGAAUUAAAGUUUCAAAAUUCUAUGUUUGUGUGUUUGUUGGUUUUAUUCUGCAAGUUGGCUUCCAUAUUUCAUUCCCAUAGCUUCUAGUUAAUGUCUAAUUUUUUGUUGUAGUGCUUUUAACUUGUUGGAGUUUGAUCUAAACUUCAAUUAAUAUUUGAUCUCUUAUGCUUUAACAUUUCAUUUAAAUUUUAGUUUUAUCUUUUGUGUACAGAUUGUAGUUUUGUAAAUUUUUCUUAAUUGUGGUUGCAUUUAGUCAUCUAUACAGAAAUUAGUUGAUCGUGUACUCCAAGCACAAUUUGCUAGAGAGAGGAAUUAGAGAUUGUAUAGUAGUGUACUUCAAAUUUGUAUGGUUGAGUUUUUUAUUUUUUAUUUUUUUAUUUUGCUAGUUUAACUCUGUUACAUGACAAAUUGUAAUCUUAGGUUUAAUUUCAGAAACUUAAACCAACCUAGCACUGAAGAUGAGUGCUUAUAAUGAAUAGUACCUCUUUCUUCUUGUGUUGUUUUUUGAUUCUUCUUGUUUUGCUGAUUUCACUUUAUUUUGUUGCAUGAUGGAUUACUUUCUUAAGAUUAAUUUCAUAAACUUAAAUCUAGUUAAGCACUGAGAUGGAAAAUUGCCUCUUUCUUAUUGGAUUCUUUGAAAAUCUAUGAUCUUGCAUAGAAUUUUUGUUGUAUUGUAUGGUAACUUUUGAUGAUAAUUGUACCUGUUCUAGUACAUUUCAGAUCAUGAAGAGUUUGAUUAAAGUUGCUAAAAUUCUAUGUUUCUUAUUAUAAUAUGGACUUUGUUUUCUUAAGUAACACUGUUAUUAUUGGAAGCACCUUGACCUAUGAUGUGGUUGGUGGCUGUUGUUUUUUAACUUUGGUAUAUAAUUGUUGUAUAUUUAUGUUGAGAUGCAAAACUACCUCUUAUCUUUGGCCCAUCAUUAUAGUCUUUUCUUGUUAAGUUGUUGUGUUGGUUUUAAUUUCUCUUUAGGUUUUUAAAGGCUUUCUACUUUUGUAUUUUUGGGGUUUUGAGUUAAAACAUUUAUAAUGUCUUAUUUGUGAGCAAUUGAUGUGAUUAUGUUUAUUUUGCAGGCAAUUUUUGCCUUGAAUCUUUCUGCUUUAGGAUUAGUUCAUUAUGGUCUUAAAUCAUGAAGUUCAAGUUUGAUUGUCUUUAUUUCUAAAAUAGCAUUGUUCUCUAUACAUGUGGCAUGUUGCUUGUGUUUAACUUAAAUGCAUAUCACCUUAUUAUUAAACAUUGUUGAAUGAGACUUUGAUUUCAUUAAAAAUGAAAGGUGUUAUGUGCAUGUAUAUUAAUUAGAUAUUUAAUUAAGAUCUUGUAUUUUAUCUUGAAAUUUAUUUUUAUUUAUCGU
rnacentral:lncRNA from 1 species